rnacentral:rRNA from 1 species
UACAGAGGUCCCAAGCGUUGUUCGGAUUCACUGGGCGUAAAGGGUGCGUAGGUGGUAAGGCAAGUCAGGUGUGAAAUCUCCGGGCUCAACCCGGAAAUGGCAUUCGAAACUACCUUGCUAGAGGGUUUGAGGGGGGACUGGAAUACUUGGUGUAGCAGUGAAAUGCGUAGAUAUCAAGUGGAACACCAGCGGCGAAGGCGAGUCCCUGGAAAACUCCUGACACUGAGGCACGAAAGCUAGGGGAGCAAACAGG